rnacentral:rRNA from 1 species
UCGAGAAUUUUUCUCAAUGGGCGAAAGCUUGAAGGAGCGACGCCGCGUGGGGGAUGAAGGGCUUCGGCCUGUAAACCCCUGUCAUUUGCGAACAAACCUGCUCAUUUAAUAGAUGGGCAGCUGAUAGUAGCGAAAGAGGAAGGGACGGCUAACUCUGUGCCAGCAGCCGCGGUAAUACAGAGGUCCCAAGCGUUGUUCGGAUUCACUGGGCGUACAGGGUGCGGAGGUGGCGGUGCAAGUUGGAGGUGAAAUCUCCGGGCUUAACCCGGAAACUGCAUUGAAUACUGUAAUGCUAGGGGGUCGGAGGGAAGACUGGAAUUCUCGGUGUAGCAGUGAAAUGCGUAGAUAUCGAGAGGAACACCAGUGGCGAAAGCGAGUCUCUGGACGACUCCUGACACUGAGGCACGAAAGCUAGGGGAUCAAACA